rnacentral:rRNA from 1 species
UACGUAGGGUGCGAGCGUUGUCCGGAAUUAUUGGGCGUAAAGAGCUCGUAGGCGGUUUGUCGCGUCGGCCGUGAAAACUUGGGGCUUAACUCCAAGCUUGCGGUCGAUACGGGCAGACUUGAGUUCGGCAGGGGAGACUGGAAUUCCUGGUGUAGCGGUGAAAUGCGCAGAUAUUAGGAGGAACACCGGUGGCGAAGGCGCCGCUCUGGGCCGAUACUGACGCUGAGGAGCGAAAGCGUGGGUAGCAAACAGG